rnacentral:rRNA from 1 species
AGAGUUUGAUCCUGGCUCAGAUUGAACGCUGGCGGCAUGCCUUACACAUGCAAGUCGAACGGCAGCACGGGAGCAAUCCUGGUGGCGAGUGGCGAACGGGUGAGUAAUAUAUCGGAACGUGCCCAGUCGUGGGGGAUAACGCAGCGAAAGCUGUGCUAAUACCGCAUACGAUCUCUGGAUGAAAGCGGGGGACUCGUAAGAGCCUCGCGCGAUUGGAGCGGCCGAUAUCAGAUUAGCUAGUUGGCGGGGUAAAGGCCCACCAAGGCGACGAUCUGUAGCUGGUCUGAGAGGACGACCAGCCACACUGGAACUGAGACACGGUCCAGACUCCUACGGGAGGCAGCAGUGGGGAAUUUUGGACAAUGGGCGCAAGCCUGAUCCAGCAAUGCCGCGUGCAGGAUGAAGGCCUUCGGGUUGUAAACUGCUUUUGUACGGAACGAAAAGGUCUGCCUUAAUACGGUGGGCCCAUGACGGUACCGUAAGAAUAAGCACCGGCUAACUACGUGCCAGCAGCCGCGGUAAUACGUAGGGUGCGAGCGUUAAUCGGAAUUACUGGGCGUAAAGCGUGCGCA